UUUUCUCGCCGCUUGUGUGGCUCGCUGGCUGCGUGGCUCGGUUCUUGUGAGCGAAGCUUUGUCCGGUUCGGCAAUGGACGGAAUCGUCACUGAGGUUGCAGUUGGCGUGAAGAGAGGAUCUGACGAACUACUCUCAGGCAGUGUUCUCAGUAGUCCAAACUCUAAUAUGAGCAGCAUGGUAGUUACAGCCAAUGGUAACGAUAGUAAAAAAUUUAAAGGAGAAGAUAAAAUGGAUGGUGCUCCUUCUCGUGUACUUCAUAUUCGAAAAUUACCUGGGGAAGUAACAGAAACUGAAGUUAUUGCUUUAGGCUUACCUUUUGGUAAGGUGACCAACAUCCUUAUGCUGAAAGGAAAAAAUCAGGCAUUUUUGGAACUAGCAACCGAGGAAGCAGCUAUUACUAUGGUUAAUUACUAUUCUGCUGUGACACCUCAUCUUCGUAACCAACCAAUAUAUAUCCAGUACUCGAAUCACAAAGAACUAAAGACAGAUAAUACAUUAAACCAAGUAAGUGUGUGUAGGUACAUAAAUAAAAUGGCCUAGAACAUAUUAUGAAUCUCAUAAACAUUAAUAGGAAGGAAAUGUUUACCUGUUCAAAUGUUCCUUAUAGGCAUUUUCUUGUUAUUUUUAAGGUAUUUUCAUGCAGAAUGUUUCUAAGUAUUAAAUACUAUGUCAUUUUGAAUUCCUUUAAACCCCUGGUCAAAUGUUCUUUUUCUUGUUGCAAGUUAAAAUUUUUGUGUAGAAACUUAUCAGGUAGGAUUUAUUAUUAGCAUAAACUAUUUAUACAACUCUCCUGCUUAGAAUUUAAGGUAUGAAGUUCAGUGCCUUUGGUUAUUUGACUUUUUUUAUAGGUCUUAAUUUCUUAUGGAAAAUUUUUUUUUGAAGAUGUGUUCAUGGUUUUCCUGGAAAAGAAAUCUUAAGGAUGAAGAAUAUAUGAAUGUAUUGAUGUUUUAAAAAUGUAAUAUAGAAGAUAUUGUUUAAAAUUAAUGUAUUUAAAAAUAGCAUUAGAAUGUUUUCUGACCUACAUUAUAAGACUGCUGUAAUGAUCUAAAACUUUAGCUGUUUUAAUAUAGUUUUAAAACUAAUGGUAUCUUUCUCUGUCAGUAAAAUACAAACUUUUUCUUAAUAAAA
rnacentral:sRNA from 1 species